AUAAAAUGUUACACAAGAAUACAUCACUAACCAUCAAUUCAAUCUUACAAGUUACAAUGAAAGAAACCCCUAUGAAGAGCUCCAGGAACAGCAUAAAUACAAUCCAAACUAGGGGUUUCUUUGUUUCCUCUGUUUUAGUGUUGCAGAAGUAGUAUUUCCUUCACUGUUAAUAUUACAGUGGUAGUAUUUCCUUCACGACGAUGGAACUGUUAAUUCAUAAUGUUGGUGACUGCUUGGCUUCGAGAGUUUUCUCAUAUUCUUCAAUGGACUUGAAAAGCUCCGAGAAAUUCCCCUUCCCAAACCCUCCACAUCCACCCUUCUGGUAGU
rnacentral:misc_RNA from 1 species